CCCCGAACGGUGGAUCACUCGGCUCGCGGAUCGAUGAAGACCGCAG
rnacentral:rRNA from 1 species